rnacentral:rRNA from 1 species
ACGCUCGACACCUACAGGAGGCAGCAGUGGGGAAUAUUGCACAAUGGGGGAAACCCUGAUGCAGCGACGCCGCGUGAAGGAAGAAGUAUUUCGGUAUGUAAACUUCUAUCAGCAGGGAAGAAAAUGACGGUACCUGAGUAAGAAGCACCGGCUAAAUACGUGCCAGCAGCCGCGGUAAUCUGAGCGGGCUGGCAAGGC